rnacentral:rRNA from 1 species
GAUGAACGCUGGCGGCGUGCCUAAUACAUGCAAGUCGAGCGAACAGACGAGGAGCUUGCUCCUCUGACGUUAGCGGCGGACGGGUGAGUAACACGUGGAUAACCUACCUAUAAGACUGGGAUAACUUCGGGAAACCGGAGCUAAUACCGGAUAAUAUAUUGAACCGCAUGGUUCAAUAGUGAAAGACGGUUUUGCUGUCACUUAUAGAUGGUUCCGGGCCGGAUUAGCUAGUUGGUAAGGUAACGGCUUACCAAGGCAACGAUGCGUAGCCGACCUGAGAGGGUGAUCGGCCACACUGGAACUGAGACACGGUCCAGACUCCUACGGGAGGCAGCAGUAGGGAAUCUUCCGCAAUGGGCGAAAGCCUGACGGAGCAACGCCGCGUGAGUGAUGAAGGUCUUCGGAUCGUAAAACUCUGUUAUUAGGGAAGAACAAAUGUGUAAGUAACUAUGCACGUCUUGACGGUACCUAAUCAGAAAGCCACGGCUAACUACGUG